rnacentral:rRNA from 1 species
UACGAAGGGAGCUAGCGUUGUUCGGAAUUACUGGGCGUAAAGGGCGCGUAGGCGGUUUUGUAAGUUAGGUGUGAAAUCCCCGGGCUUAACCUGGGAACUGCAUUUAAGACUACAAGACUAGAGGACGAGAGAGGAAAGUGGAAUUGAGAGUGUAGAGGUGAAAUUCGUAGAUAUUCUCAAGAACACCAGUGGCGAAGGCGACUUUCUGGCUCGUAUCUGACGCUAAGGCGCGAAAGCGUGGGGAGCAAACAGG